rnacentral:rRNA from 1 species
GUGAUGGGUAGCUGGUCUGAGAGGACGACCAGCCACAUUGGGACUGAGAUACGGCCCAGACUCCUACGGGAGGCAGCAGUGGGGUAUCUUGGACAAUGGACGAAAGUCUGAUCCAGCGACACCGCGUGGGGGAUGAAGGCUCUCGGGUCGUAAACCCCUUUUCUGGGGGAAGAAUAAGGUUGGGAGGAAAUGCCCAUCCGAUGACGGUACUCCAGGAAUAAGCAUCGGCAAACUCCGUGCCAGCAGCCGCGGUAAGACGGAGGAUGCGAGCGUUAUCCGGAAUUACUGGGCGUAAAGGACGUCUAGGCGGUUGGGUAAGUCACCUGUGAAAGCCCUCGGCUCAACCGAGGAAGGUCUCGUGAUACUGCCCGGCUUGGGUGUAGGAGAGGGGAGUGGAACUCACAGAGUAGCGGUGGAAUGCGUAGAUACUGUGAGGUACCCCGAUGGCGAAGGCAACUCCCUGGCCUACUACCGACGCUGAAGCGUGAAAGCGUGGGGAGCAAAGGGGAUUAGAUACCCCCGUAGUCCACGCCCCAAACGAUGUUCACUUGGUGUCGGCCGCAAAUAUAGGUCGGUGCCGGAGCUAACGCGUUAAGUGAACCGCCUGAGGAGUACGGCCGCAAGGCUAAAACUCAAGAGAAUUGACGGGUCCCCGCACAAGCGGUGGAGCACGUGGUUUAAUUCGAUUUAAGCGAAGAACCUCACCCAGGCUUGACAUACUAGUGGUAGGAACCUGAAAGGGGGACGACCCUGCCUUCGGGUAGGGAGCUAGUACAGGUGAUGCAUGGCUGUCGUCAGCUCGUGUCGUGGGAUGUAGGGUUAAGUCCCGAAACGAGCGCAACCCUUGUCGUUAGUUGCCAGCGGGUAAUGCCGGGGACUCUAGCGAGACUGCUGGUGAAUAGCCGGAGGAAGGCGGGGAUGACGUCAAGUCAUCAUGUCCCUUAUGCCUGGGGCGACACACAUGCUACAAUGGGGGGUACAGAGGGUCGCAAUACCGUAAGGUGGAGCCAAUCUCAAAAAACCCUCCUCAGUUCGGAUUGAGGUCUGCAACUCGACCUCAUGAAGCCGGAAUCGCUAGUAAUCGUAGGUCAGCCAUACUACGGUGAAUAUGUACUCGGGGAUUGUACACACCGCCCGUCACACCAACCGAGUGGGGGGUACCUGAAGUCGUCUCUCAGAGGCGCCGAGGGUAACCUUCGCAAGAGGGGUGAAGUCGUAACAAGGUA